rnacentral:rRNA from 1 species
GAUGAACGCUGGCGGCGUGCCUAAUACAUGCAAGUCGAACGCAUAGCGAAAGGUGCUUGCACCUUUCAAGUGAGUGGCGAACGGGUGAGUAACACGUGGACAACCUGCCUCAAGGCUGGGGAUAACAUUUGGAAACAGAUGCUAAUACCGAAUAAAACUUAGUGUCGCAUGACACAAAGUUAAAAGGCGCUUCGGCGUCACCUAGAGAUGGAUCCGCGGUGCAUUAGUUAGUUGGUGGGGUAAAGGCCUACCAAGACAAUGAUGCAUAGCCGAGUUGAGAGACUGAUCGGCCACAUUGGGACUGAGACACGGCCCAAACUCCUACGGGAGGCUGCAGUAGGGAAUCUGCCACAAUGGGCGAAAGCCUGAUGGAGCAACGCCGCGUGUGUGAUGAAGGCUUUCGGGUCGUAAAGCACUGUUGUAUGGGAAGAACAGCUAGAAUAGGAAAUGAUUUUAGUUUGACGGUACCAUACCAGAAAGGGACGGCUAAAUACGUG